rnacentral:rRNA from 1 species
ACUCCUACGGGAGGCAGCAGUGGGGAAUAUUGCACAAUGGGCGCAAGCCUGAUGCAGCCAUGCCGCGUGUGUGAAGAAGGCCUUCGGGUUGUAAAGCACUUUCAGUCGUGAGGAAGGUAGUGUAGUUAAUAGCUGCAUUAUUUGACGUUAGCGACAGAAGAAGCACCGGCUAACUCCGUGCCAGCAGCCGCGGUAAUACGGAGGGGUGCGAGCGUUAAUCGGAAUUACUGGGCGUAAAGCGCAUGCAGGUGGUUUGUUAAGUCAGAUGUGAAAGCCCGGGGCUCAACCUCGGAAUUGCAUUUGAAACUGGCAGACUAGAGUACUGUAGAGGGGGUAGAAUUUCAGGUGUAGCGGUGAAAUGCGUAGAGAUCUGAAGGAAUACCGGUGGCGAAGGCGGCCCCCUGGACAGAUACUGACACUCAGAUGCGAAAGCGUGGGGAGGCAAACAGGAUUAGAU